rnacentral:rRNA from 1 species
CGCGUAGGCGGCUGAGCAAGUCUGAGGUGAAAGCCCCCGGCUCAACUGGGGAACUGCCUCAGAUACUGCUCGGCUUGAGUCCCGGAGAGGGUAGCGGAAUUCCCAGUGUAGCGGUGAAAUGCGUAGAUAUUGGGAGGAACACCAGUGGCGAAGGCGGCUACCUGGACGGGUACUGACGCUGAGGCGCGAAAGCGUGGGGAGCAAACA